UUUUGCUUGAUAACUUUAUGUGGUCAUUGCAGGUUCAUUACACAUUUACAACAACUGGAUCAGAUGGUGCCUUCAAUUUUGCGACAAGGAUAGCAAACCGAGACUCGAGAUCAUUGUUUAACUGGUUUAGUGUUGAUUUUUGAUUGCAGCUUCAGGAUGGAGGAGUAGAUGAAAUUAUGCGUGACUUUGAUGAGCCUGGAAGUCUUGCACCAACUUGUCCAGUAGCUCAUCUGUUAUAGAUCCACAAUCAACGAACGAAGAUCAAGUAUCCAUUACACUCUAUGUUAUGCUAGGUUAUAUAAGAUGGUUCAUUAACUUUCUUGUUUGAAAAUUCAGGGAGAAGUUUGGCCACAUCAUUCUGUAGGGAACCAGUUGCUGAGAUUCUACAAUGGUACUCGAUUGUUAAGUGUGGGCUCAGUUCAUCAUUUGGGAGGAAAGUUUGCUGGCAAUGAAGGGGUAUGAAUAACUAUCCUAUGAGAUUUUGUCGUCUUCGGUGUUCUAAGAAAAAUUACAGGGAGAUGUUGCUGACCAUGGAGGUUACAUUGAAGCCCAUAAUCCAUCUCUCAUCAAAUGUACUGUACAUAUGAUUGUGGAGAGCCUCAAAUACAGGUUGCAAACAAGGUGCCCCCUUAUGAAGUGUUAGAUCAUUUUACUGCAGGUGUAUCAAGUGUGUGGGUUUAAUUCAAAACCAGGUAGUGUAUCCUUUUGCUGGUUUGCAGUUUUCUUUAAGACACUUUGAACUUACUGAGGCUAGUUUCUCUUAUCUUUAAGAACCUUGAACGUAUUAGGAUUUGGAUUGCGUGAAUUCAGAAUUUGAAUCCUUUUUUGUAUGAUUUUGAA